GAUGAAGAACGCAGCGAAAUGCGAUAAGUAAUGUGAAUUGCAGAAUUCAGUGAAUCAUCGAAUGUUUGAACGCACAUUGCGCCCUCUGGUAUUCCGGGGGGCAUGCCUGUUCGAGCGUCAUUAUAACCACUCAAGCUCUCGCUUGGUAUUGGAGUUCGCGAUCUCGCGGCUCCUAAAAUCAGUGGCGGUGCCUGUCGGCUCUACGCGUAGUAAUACUCCUCGCGAUUGAGUCCGGUAGGUUUACUUGCCAGCAACCCCCAAUUUUUACAGGUUGACCUCGGAUCAGGUAGGGAUACCCGCUGAACUUAAGCAUAUCAAUAAGCGGAGGA
rnacentral:misc_RNA from 1 species